rnacentral:rRNA from 1 species
GAUGAACGCUGGCGGCGUGCCUAAUACAUGCAAGUCGAGCGAACGGACGCGACGCUUGCUUCUCUGAUGUUAGCGGCGGAGGGGUGAGUAACACGUGGAUAACCUACCUAUAAUACUGGGAUAAUUUCGGGAAGCCGGCGCUAAUCCCGGAUAAUAUUUUGCACCGCAUGGUUCAUAAGUGAAAGACGGUGUUGGUGUAACUUAUAGCUGGAUCUGCGCUGCAUUGGCUGGUUGGUACGGUCACGGCUUUUCACGGGAAGUAUGCAUAGCCGAGGUGAGGGGGUGAUCGCCCACCCGGGAACUUAGACACGGUCCAGAGUCCUACGGGAGGGAGCAGUAGGGAAUCGUCCGCAGUGGGCGGAAACCUGACGCAGCAACGCCACGUGUGUGAUGAAGAUCUUCGGUGCGUAAAACUCUGUUAUGAGGUAAGAACAUAUGUGUAAGGAACCGUGCACAGCGUGACGGUACCUAGUCAGAAAGCCACGGCUAACUACGUG